GCCGUGCCGUUCAUCCCCCCCCCCAUCAUUCCCCAUAGUCGUCUCCUCGACGACAUCCACGGAGCGUAAGUGCUGAUGUGCGUGCAUGUGUCCAUGUACUCGCUGCAGUGUGCUGCGGCUGCGCAUUGGGGAACUCAAAGUAGCUGACGGCGGCGCCACUCAUGGGGCCCUCAGGCGCACCUCAGAUCCUCGCUGGCCCUCUUCCCCACCUGCACACGCUCCAGCGGCCUCCUCUUUUGUGUUCGUCGGAGGCACCCUCACCUCCCUAGUUCCCGAGAAGUGUGAAAAGGGAAAAGGGAGGCUGCAGUGCCUCCUCCCGUCCCGAAUUCGGCCAUCCAGUGUAGUCCAUUCCUCCACCGUUCCACACGGCGGUGGCCUUGGGCCGCCUGAUUGGUCUGCGCAAUACAGCAGGCAGAGUCGUUGCUCUUGAGUCUUUGUCACUCCGCUUCCUCAUUCCCCGCUACUCUCUUUCCCUGCUCGUCCUUUUUCCCGACUGGUUGCGCUCUCCCCUUCCCUCGCCUCCACUGCUGCGGCAUCACCUGGCAG
rnacentral:misc_RNA from 1 species